UGAGAAGCUUCCGGAACUCUUGUUCUGGCAAAUUUUGGACUGAAGCCUUCGGGCUUCAUUUUUUUUAUUUCGCGUUUCCUCUCCAUCACCUCCCGGCGCUCGCGGCUGAGCCCCACAAGGCCGCGGGAAGCGGAGCCAUUCACAGCCGCCACGCGUCUCCGACAGCCCCACCAUACCCCCGUCUGACCUACCAAGCGAAGCUGCUGCAGCCCAAGCCGCUGCGCCGUGGUCAGCGGAGGCCCGGGAAGCAACAGGGUGCCUGACGCCGCCUGUGCCGCGCCUGGCGCCUCCUGGCUGCGCGUCCUCUCGGCAGACAUCCGUCGAGCGGUUCCCCCAUGCAAAUCGACCCCGAGACGUCGAGCUGGAGAGGAAAGGCUUUUAACUAACGCUAUUAUUGUUACAGUUUCUGUACUAUAUUG
rnacentral:misc_RNA from 1 species